UUAAGCGACUAAGCGUACACGGUGGAUGCCCUGGCAGUCAGAGGCGAUGAAGGACGUGCUAAUCUGCGAUAAGCGUCGGUAAGGUGAUAUGAACCGUUAUAACCGGCGAUUUCCGAAUGGGGAAACCCAGUGUGAUUCGUCACACUAUCAUUAACUGAAUCCAUAGGUUAAUGAGGCGAACCGGGGGAACUGAAACAUCUAAGUACCCCGAGGAAAAGAAAUCAACCGAGAUUCCCCCAGUAGCGGCGAGCGAACGGGGAGCAGCCCAGAGCCUGAAUCAGUGUGUGUGUUAGUGGAAGCGUCUGGAAAGGCGCGCGAUACAGGGUGACAGCCCCGUACACAAAAAUGCACAUGCUGUGAGCUCGAUGAGUAGGGCGGGACACGUGGUAUCCUGUCUGAAUAUGGGGGGACCAUCCUCCAAGGCUAAAUACUCCUGACUGACCGAUAGUGAACCAGUACCGUGAGGGAAAGGCGAAAAGAACCCCGGCGAGGGGAGUGAAAAAGAACCUGAAACCGUGUACGUACAAGCAGUGGGAGCACGCUUAGGCGUGUGACUGCGUACCUUUUGUAUAAUGGGUCAGCGACUUAUAUUCUGUAGCAAGGUUAACCGAAUAGGGGAGCCGAAGGGAAACCGAGUCUUAACUGGGCGUUAAGUUGCAGGGUAUAGACCCGAAACCCGGUGAUCUAGCCAUGGGCAGGUUGAAGGUUGGGUAACACUAACUGGAGGACCGAACCGACUAAUGUUGAAAAAUUAGCGGAUGACUUGUGGCUGGGGGUGAAAGGCCAAUCAAACCGGGAGAUAGCUGGUUCUCCCCGAAAGCUAUUUAGGUAGCGCCUCGUGAAUUCAUCUCCGGGGGUAGAGCACUGUUUCGGCAAGGGGGUCAUCCCGACUUACCAACCCGAUGCAAACUGCGAAUACCGGAGAAUGUUAUCACGGGAGACACACGGCGGGUGCUAACGUCCGUCGUGAAGAGGGAAACAACCCAGACCGCCAGCUAAGGUCCCAAAGUCAUGGUUAAGUGGGAAACGAUGUGGGAAGGCCCAGACAGCCAGGAUGUUGGCUUAGAAGCAGCCAUCAUUUAAAGAAAGCGUAAUAGCUCACUGGUCGAGUCGGCCUGCGCGGAAGAUGUAACGGGGCUAAACCAUGCACCGAAGCUGCGGCAGCGACGCUUAUGCGUUGUUGGGUAGGGGAGCGUUCUGUAAGCCUGCGAAGGUGUGCUGUGAGGCAUGCUGGAGGUAUCAGAAGUGCGAAUGCUGACAUAAGUAACGAUAAAGCGGGUGAAAAGCCCGCUCGCCGGAAGACCAAGGGUUCCUGUCCAACGUUAAUCGGGGCAGGGUGAGUCGACCCCUAAGGCGAGGCCGAAAGGCGUAGUCGAUGGGAAACAGGUUAAUAUUCCUGUACUUGGUGUUACUGCGAAGGGGGGACGGAGAAGGCUAUGUUGGCCGGGCGACGGUUGUCCCGGUUUAAGCGUGUAGGCUGGUUUUCCAGGCAAAUCCGGAAAAUCAAGGCUGAGGCGUGAUGACGAGGCACUACGGUGCUGAAGCAACAAAUGCCCUGCUUCCAGGAAAAGCCUCUAAGCAUCAGGUAACAUCAAAUCGUACCCCAAACCGACACAGGUGGUCAGGUAGAGAAUACCAAGGCGCUUGAGAGAACUCGGGUGAAGGAACUAGGCAAAAUGGUGCCGUAACUUCGGGAGAAGGCACGCUGAUAUGUAGGUGAAGUCCCUCGCGGAUGGAGCUGAAAUCAGUCGAAGAUACCAGCUGGCUGCAACUGUUUAUUAAAAACACAGCACUGUGCAAACACGAAAGUGGACGUAUACGGUGUGACGCCUGCCCGGUGCCGGAAGGUUAAUUGAUGGGGUCAGCGCAAGCGAAGCUCUUGAUCGAAGCCCCGGUAAACGGCGGCCGUAACUAUAACGGUCCUAAGGUAGCGAAAUUCCUUGUCGGGUAAGUUCCGACCUGCACGAAUGGCGUAAUGAUGGCCAGGCUGUCUCCACCCGAGACUCAGUGAAAUUGAACUCGCUGUGAAGAUGCAGUGUACCCGCGGCAAGACGGAAAGACCCCGUGAACCUUUACUAUAGCUUGACACUGAACAUUGAGCCUUGAUGUGUAGGAUAGGUGGGAGGCUUUGAAGUGUGGACGCCAGUCUGCAUGGAGCCGACCUUGAAAUACCACCCUUUAAUGUUUGAUGUUCUAACGUUGACCCGUGAUCCGGGUUGCGGACAGUGUCUGGUGGGUAGUUUGACUGGGGCGGUCUCCUCCUAAAGAGUAACGGAGGAGCACGAAGGUUGGCUAAUCCUGGUCGGACAUCAGGAGGUUAGUGCAAUGGCAUAAGCCAGCUUGACUGCGAGCGUGACGGCGCGAGCAGGUGCGAAAGCAGGUCAUAGUGAUCCGGUGGUUCUGAAUGGAAGGGCCAUCGCUCAACGGAUAAAAGGUACUCCGGGGAUAACAGGCUGAUACCGCCCAAGAGUUCAUAUCGACGGCGGUGUUUGGCACCUCGAUGUCGGCUCAUCACAUCCUGGGGCUGAAGUAGGUCCCAAGGGUAUGGCUGUUCGCCAUUUAAAGUGGUACGCGAGCUGGGUUUAGAACGUCGUGAGACAGUUCGGUCCCUAUCUGCCGUGGGCGCUGGAGAACUGAGGGGGGCUGCUCCUAGUACGAGAGGACCGGAGUGGACGCAUCACUGGUGUUCGGGUUGUCAUGCCAAUGGCACUGCCCGGUAGCUAAAUGCGGAAGAGAUAAGUGCUGAAAGCAUCUAAGCACGAAACUUGCCCCGAGAUGAGUUCUCCCUGACCCUUUAAGGGUCCUGAAGGAACGUUGAAGACGACGACGUUGAUAGGCCGGGUGUGUAAGCGCAGCGAUGCGUUGAGCUAACCGGUACUAAUGAACCGUGAGGCUUAACCUU
rnacentral:rRNA from 1 species